rnacentral:lncRNA from 1 species
CAAAUUAUCUAUUAAGUUUAAAAUUGAGAAUGGAAAUGGGGAAUGUGUCAAAGAGACAACAACCCGCCCAAAUAAAAAACAACAGCAGAGGGUCACCAACAGGUCUUCAAUGUAGCGAGAAAUACCCGCACCCGGAGGCGUCCUUCAGCUGGCCCCUAAACAAAUAUAUACUAGUCCAGUGAUAAUGAACACCAUACUAAUUUCCAAAUUGUACACAAGAAACUAAAAUUAAAAUAAUACAAGACUAACAAAGGCCAGAGGCUCCUGACUUGGGACAGGCGCAAAAAUGCGGCGGGGUUAAACAUGUUUGUGAGAUCUCAACCCUCCCCCUAUACCUCUAACCAAUGUAGUAAAGUAAACGCAUAACAAUACGCACAUUAAAAUUCAGUUCAAGAGAAAUCCGAGUCUGAUGUCAGAAGAUGUAACCAAAGAAAAUAAACAAAAUGACAAUAAUAC